rnacentral:rRNA from 1 species
CAAAGUCUUCAGAAAUGCUGUUUUAGCCCGGGACAGAUUUUCCAUGCAGCAGUUUUGGUCCUUAGGCGUGUACACUCCUUUUCCUUUCUUCGUGAGCUUUCUUUUGCGUCAAGUAAGCCAAAAAAUGCUGAAUUUUGCAUCAUUUAUACCUGAAACUUUACUAAUCAUGUUCGUUAGCUCAUUUACAGGAAAAAGGACUAAAAGUGCAUGAAAUAUAUAAUUUGUUCUCAGAACUAGGCUAAAAUAUGGGCAAAAUAUAUUGAUAUAGGCGUGUAAAUUCACCUAUCAUCACCUGUGGGCUCCCCAUUCGACCCGUCUUAAAACACGGACCAAGGAGUCUGACAUGUGUGCGUGUCAACGGGCGAGUAAACCCGUAAGGCGCAAGGAAGCUGAUUGGUGGGAUCCCCCCGAGGGGUGCACCGCCGACCGACCUUGAUCUUCUGAGAAGGGUUCGAGUGUGAGCAUACCUGUCGGGACCCGAAAGAUGGUGAACUAUGCCUGAGCGGGGCGAAGCCAGAGGAAACUAUGGUGGAGGCCCGCAGCGAUACUGACGUGCAAAUCGUUCGUCUGACUUGGGUAUAGGGGCGAAAGACUAAUAUAACCGUCUAGUAGCUGGUUCCCUCCGAAGUUUGACUCAGGAUAGCUGGAGCUCGCGUGCGAGUUCUAUCGUGUAAAGCCAAUGAUUAGAGGCCUCGGGGAUGUAACGCCCUCAAACUAUUCUCAAACUUUAAAUAGGUAGGAUAGCGCAACUGCUUUAUUGAGCCGCGCCACGGAAUCAAGAGCUCCGAGUAGGCCAUUUUUGGUAAGCAGAACUGGCAAUGUGGGAUGAACCGGAAGCCGGGUUACGGUGCCAAACUGCGCGCUAACCUAGAUCCCACAAAGGGUGUUGGUCGAUUAAGACAGCAGGACGGUGGUCAUGGAAGUCGAAAUCCGCUAAGGAGUGUGUAACAACUCACCUGCCGAAUCAUCUAGCCUCGAAAAUGGAUGGCGCUUAAGCGCGAGACCUACACCGGCCGUCGGGGCAAGUGCCAGGCCCUGAUGAGUAGGAGGGCGUGGCGGUCGCUGCAAAACCUUGGGCGAGAGACCGGGCGGAGCGGCCGUCGGUGCAGAUCUUGGUGGUAGUAGCAAAUAUUCAAAUGAGAACUUUGAAGGCCGAAGAGGGGAAAGGUUCCAUGUGAACAGAAUUUGCACAUGGGUUAGUUCAUCCUAAGGGUCGGGGAAAGCCCGACAGAUAGCGCGUUUCGCGCGAGCUCCGAAAGGGAAUCGGGUUAAAAUUCCUGAACCGGGAUGUGGCGGUCGACGGCAACGUUAGGAAGUCCGGAGACGUCGGCAGGAGCCUCAGGAAGAGUUAUCUUUUCCGUUUAACAGCCUGCCCACCCUGGAAUCGGCUCAGCCGGAGGUAGGGUCUAGCGGCUGGUUGAUUCAACCCAGUACGAGAGGAACCGUUGAUUCACACAAUUGGUCAUCGUGCUUUGUUGAAAAGCCAGUGGCGCGAAGCUACCGUGUGCUGGAUUAUGACUGAACGCCUCUAAGUCAGAAUCCGGGCUAGAAGCGAUGCAUGUGCCAGCCGUCCGCUUGCCGACCCGCAGUAGGGGCCUCGGCCCCCAAGGGCACGUGUCAUUGGCUAAGCCGCCGCGGCGGAAGGGUCGCGGCGGCCGCCUUGAAGUACAAUUUCCAUCAAGCGGCGGGCAGAAUCUUUUGCAGACAACUUAAAUGUGCGACGGGGUAUUGUAAGUGGCAGAGUGGCCUUGCUGCCACGAUCCACUGAGAUUCAGCCCUUUGUCGCUCCGGUUCGUCCCUCCCCAUCCAAUCCAACCACCCUGCCGCCCAUCUCCAAAGGAGGUUCGUGCAUUCGUCCUUGAAAAAUCCCACCAAGUGCUGCGAGCUCACCUCACCCGAGUUAGCCAAGCGUCGCGUGCGUUCCAUCCCAAACAGUUAAGCAUACGAUAUCAAGUGGCCUUUCGUGAAAAACAACGGCAUCGCAACUGGAGGAUUUUCGCGAUUCGGAGUGCGACAUAAGGUCUCAGCGAAGCGCCGAGAACAAAGUCGGUGCGUGGAGCCAUGCCGCCAUUAGAGGUUUUUGUGACCGUCGAGUGCAAUGCUAGAGACGCCUCCAAUGACGAACGCCGACGGACGUAUAGUGGCCAGCCAUGGUGGUGUCUUUGUCAAGUUUGAUAUCCGUGCACCGUGGCACCAAGGCAGCUUGGCACCGUGGCGCCAUGGCACCAAGUCACCGUGGCGACAUGGCACCAAGGCACCAAGGCACCAUGGCUCCGUGGCGCCAUGGAACCAAGGCACCAAGGCCCCAAGGCACCGUGGCACCAUGGCAUCGUGGCGCCAUGGCACCAUGGCACCAAGGCACCGUGGCGCCAUGGCACCAAGUCACCAAGGCACCAAGGCUCCAUGGCGCUAUGGCACCUAGGCACCUUGGCGCCAUGGCACCUUGCAUACUCAUUUUUCUACAUAUCCGCUCUAAUUUUUUUAUUUUAAAUAUAUUUCGUUGUUACCUCAUAUGUCGUGGGGGUUUUCGUAAUGUCCCGUCGCCUUCUUUUCAAAUUUUUAUUUAAUAUCCUUAAAUUUAAAUAUUUUAUAUCGUUACGUAAUUCGUACAAAUGCGCACUCAAUUGUUGGUUUAAGGCUACUUCAUUCUAAUAUGCAUAUUUUGGGGUUGUCAUUUAUCCGUUGCAAUCUGGGCGAUUUUCCUAAUGACCCCACGUUAUUUUU